UAAGAAUAAAUACCUCUAGGUCUGAAGAGGAAAGGGAAGAGAGCAGUUUCUAGAUAGAAGGAUACAGUCACAUACAAAGGGACUAUCCUGUCAGAUCUUAUGUCAGGGGAUUCAGCCAAACCAAGGCAGCCACGCAGGUGAGAAUCCAAUGAGAAGACUGUUGUCUGCAAACCAGGAAGAAGCCUCUCACCAGACCCUGGGUCUGCUGCUACCUCAUUCUUGAACUUCCCAGCCUCCAGAAUUACUGGGUCUCCUCUGUCUGUCACCAGGCUGGAGUGCAGUGGUGUGAUCUUGACUUACUACAACCUCCACAUCCUAGGUUUACGGGAUUCUCCUGCCUCAACCUCCAGAGUAGCGGGGACUACAGGAUAGAAGAUACUUCACUGUCCACAAUAGGGCUGGAACCAUAACUAGAAGCAAAACGACCCACUAUUGAAAAGGUGAGAAGGACAGAGCAAGAAGCAAAAGCUGUAAUGUUCUUCAAAGUCAUGCCUGACUACCACCCUGUCAUCCAAGAUGUAAUUAGGUAAAUGCCCAUUUGGCAGAGAUUCUACAGACCAUGCAUCUUUCUUCAAGAGGGACUUUUAAAUGAGUGAGUAGGCAUGAUCUCCAUUUCUCUUAAAGAAUUCAGAUUCUCAAUGUACAGCUACAUUUAAUUGCUCAUUUAUUUUUAUAAUCAUGUUUAGGAGCACUUAAGGUUAAUCACGAAACCCUGGAUAUGAUAUCUCACGUGGCUGAGAGAAUAUGAAAUAUAAAUCAUUAAUUUAAAUAGGUAACAUGAGCCAUGGCAUA